GAACUAAAUCGGACGGUUGCGCGCUAUGAUGCCGAAAGGUAAUAGUGUGAGGAAAGUCCGUGCUUCACAGGGCAGGAUAGCUGAUAACGUCAGCCGAGGGUGACCUUAGGGAAAGUGCAACAGAAAAUUACCGCCUUUACAGGUAAGGAUGAAAACGUGGGGUAAGAGCCCACGAUGCGCUAUGGUAACAUAGGGCAGGUGUAAACCCUAUCCGAAGCAACACCGUAUGCAAGGAUUUUUAUUUGCCCGAUAAGUCUUUUGCGUCCUUGCGGGUGGCACGCAUUAUGCGGAGCCUUGUGGUGACACAAGGCAAAGAUAGAUGACCGUCGAUAACAGAACACGGCUUAUAGAUUUAGUUCAUAU
rnacentral:RNase_P_RNA from 1 species